rnacentral:lncRNA from 1 species
ACGUCAUGUUCGAGGGCAUCCUGCUCAAGCCAUCCAUGGUGACGCCGGGCGCCGAGGCUAAGGACCGGGCCACGCCGGAGCAGGUCGCCGAGUACACCCUGAAGCUCCUCCACCGCCGCAUCCCGCCCUCCGUCCCCGGCAUCAUGUUCCUCUCCGGCGGGCAGUCGGAGGUGGAGGCGACGCAGAACCUCAACGCCAUGAACCAGGGGCCCAACCCGUGGCACGUGUCCUUCUCCUACGCGCGGGCGCUGCAGAACACCUGCCUCAAGACGUGGGGCGGCGUGCCGGAGAACGUCAAGGCGGCGCAGGACGCGCUGCUGCUGCGCGCCAAGGCCAACUCGCUGGCGCAGCUCGGCAAGUACACCUCCGACGGCGAGGCCGCCGAGGCCAAGGAGGGCAU